UGCCAGCCGCCGCGGUAAUACGGAGGGUCCGAGCGUUAUCCGGAAUCAUUGGGUUUAAAGGGUCCGUAGGCGGGAAUCUAAGUCAGUGGUGAAAUCUUGCAGCUCAACUGUAAAAUUGCCAUUGAUACUGGAUUUCUUGAAUUAGUGUGAAGUGGUUAGAAUGUGUAGUGUAGCGGUGAAAUGCAUAGAUAUUACACAGAAUACCAAUUGCGAAGGCAGAUCACUAAGCUACGAUUGACGCUGAGGCACGAAAGCGUGGGGAGCGAACAGGAUUAGAUA
rnacentral:rRNA from 1 species